GUUCUCUACAAAUGCAAUUACACCCCUUCUCGUUUCGUGUGUAGGCGAGGCAAGUUGUUCUCUUCUUAAGCUGCUCGAGAUCAACUUGAUAAAAGUCUGAAGGAAUCCGGGUUUAAAGAGCUCGAGCUUAAAAGAAAGUUUGUUUAAUAAACAAGUUUGAGUCUGAGUUUUACUUAUUGAGCUCGAGCCAGCUUAUGAGACUAAAGUAGGGCUGUAAACGAACCGAACGUUCAGCGAACGGUUCGUGAACCGUUCGGCGGGAAGUUCGUUUAUGUUCGUUCGAUAAGCUUAACGAACGAACACGAACAAAAAAUUUUGUUCGAUAAGCUUAACGAACGAACACGAACAAAGGUCUCGUUCGUUCGACUGCGUUCGUGAACGUUCGGUAAUAUGUUCGUUCGUGUUUGUUCGUUUAUGUCCAUUCGUGUUCGUUCGUGUUUGGUCUUUUAUUUUCUCCCUUAA
rnacentral:lncRNA from 1 species